AAGCGUCCGCAAGGUUGAUUUCCAAGUUACUGUCAUGGGCAGGGCUUAACUCUAUAAAAGGCAGUGGAAACUGGUAGACUAGAGUGGGGCAGGGAGUAGAGGGAAGUCCCAGUGUAGCGAUGAAAUGUGUAGAUAUAAGGAAGAACACCAGUGGCGAAGGCGCUCUAUUGGGUCGCAACUGACACUCAUGGACGAAAGCUAGGGGAGCGAAAGGGAUUAGAUACCCCUGUAGUCCUAGCAGUAAACGAUGGACACUAGGCGUUGGACGUAUCGACCCGUUCAGUGCCGUAGCUAACGCGUUAAGUGUCCCGCCUGGGGAGUACGCACGCAAGUGUGAAACUCAAAGGAAUUGACGGGGGCCCGCACAAGCGGUGGAGUAUGUGGUUUAAUUCGAUGCAACGCGAAGAACCUUACCAGGGCUUGACAUCCCGCGAGUCCUCUGGAGACGGAGGAGUGCCUUCGGGAGCGCGGAGACAGGUGGUGCAUGGCUGUCGUCAGCUCGUGUCGUGAGAUGUUGGGUUAAGUCCCGCAACGAGCGCAACCCUCGUUUUUAGUUGCCAUCAUUCAGUUGGGCACUCUAGAGAGACUGCCGGUGACAAACCGGAGGAAGGUGGGGAUGACGUCAAGUCAUCAUGCCCCUUACGUCUUGGGCUACACACGUACUACAAUGCUACGGACAGAGGGCAGCGAGCAUGCGAAUGCAAGCAAAUCCCAUAAACCGUGGCUCAGUUCAGAUUGCAGGCUGCAACUCGCCUGCAAGAAGGCGGAAUCGCUUGUAAUCGCAGGUCAGCAUACUGCGGAGAAUACGUCCC
rnacentral:rRNA from 1 species